GUCGCUGCGCGAGCGUGCGCCCGUGAUCUGUUCGGCGGGAGCGCUCGUGCUGGCUCGGGCGCGUUGUUUUUGCGAUGGCGAGUGCGACCUCAUCAGCCAGGAAAGGUGGCACGCAAUACUGCUGUAUUGUUGAUUGCCAUAACAGCCUCGAAAACACGAAAGGUCGAACGCCGCCCGUGAAAUUCUACAGAUUUCCGGGGAAGUGGUACGAGAAGGUCAGACGACAAGCAUGGAUAAUUGCAGUGCGCCGAGUCAAUGCUGAUGACACUCCCUGGGAGCCAUCCAAAAGCAUGCGAAUUUACAAAAACAAGCAGGAUUUGCGAAGCGAAGACAUCGAUAACGCUUGCCGUUGUUCGCUGACAGCUCCGCGCAAAUCAGAACGAACACAAACGUGUAAUUUACUAAUGCUCCAGCCAAGAAAUUUAGCAGCAAAAGGCGGAAGCACAAAAUGAGAGCAGCCGUGUGCGCGCACUCAGUUACCGAGGAAACUAACGGCAAUCGUCACCGUCCCUCCACAUCUCUGCAAGUAUGCAUGACCGCUUUGUGCCUGCAUCAUAUAGAAAUAAAGUGGCUAAACUUCUGAACUUGGUGUAUACCUCUAAAUCGACAUCGUAUACGAUCUUGGACACCUGUGACACGCACUUGGCUUUCACUGUCACAUCACCGUCCACGAUUUGUUGAACGCCGUACACGUGCGGAAGCAGACGCUCCCCUUUCGUGAGGUUGCCGCCACGAAAGAAUCUGUCCGCGUCGGCAGCCUUCUUGAAACCGCAUUGCAAUCUCUGCGUCGCUGUUGCGCAAGCAGGCGAUCUGCCGCCGUCGAAAACUGAGCGCCGUGAGAACGAGCAGCGAAGAAACGCGCGGGCGAACCGGUGUAAACAAAGCGGAGACCGCGCCACGGCACGACCGCGCUGCAUCACGUUUCCACAUUGGGGGCGCUGUCAGGAGGCGCAGUAGCGCCGCCUGGCCAUGGUUUUCUCGUCUAUAGCGGACGGGAGCGCGCCAACCAACGUCGAAAAAAAAAAUAAAUAUCGAAAGUGCGCGUACAAACCCAAAGUUCCGCGAGAUGGCGGCACGUCCCUGAAAUUGUUAAAGAUAUUGCGAGAUGCCCCGCCUUCCCGGCGGCGCGGACAGCGAGACAACGCGGCUGGUCAGAACAAGCGCGGGCGCUCGCCGCCGCGCCGCUUUGAAAAUCCGCUUGUCCGCAUAGACGCUCCGCUUUCGGUGUGAACGUGCCUUUACUCUCACCUUUUUUCCAGAUGCGUUGCGGUAGCACAUUGGAGAAAGGAAACUGUGCGUUCCACAAUGGUGGUGGUACGACCCGAACACUCUCAACUUCAAGGAAAUUGCGACAGAGAACGAAAAAAAUCGACUGCACGGCGCCGCUAAAGAAACAGCCAUAGUAGACCAAUUAAAAAGGUUCCCUCGUGAGCACAUUAUCUCCCGCUAGUGGCGCCGUAGUAAGCGCAAUUUUAACCUACAAACUUUCUUAUACAGUAAUCGAAGCGUUUUUAUUACAUGACAAAAAGUAAAAAAUUAUCAUUGCUAUUUUUACACUGUACUUUUUUUUACUAACUUUGUUGAUUUUUGCCAUUUUAAACACAAAAUAGUGUUCAGCAUCAUCGACCUCCCACGUGACCUCUGGCCAGAAUUUCAAAUUUUUACCGGUAUGUUCGCGUGCACGGCAGGUACGGAUUCUUUGGUUUGUACGUCGGUUGGUUAUUUUAUGCUAAAACUGUUUAUUGCGCUUCGAUAUCUCGCGUUAUUUAACUUGGGGUGUAAGCCCGAAAGCUAGGUUUUAGUCGUGAGUCAUGUGGAACAAGUCUGCAUCGAAAUGGGAACCGGGUCCUGCUGCAACUGGGGACAGCAAUACCGACAUGCAGUAAUGAGGGCGGACCCAGUAUAAAGCAACACACUCCAGGCACUAAACAAGCUGCUGCCUGCUAACAAAAGGCCAUUGUGUGGACUUGGGCUGCUACUACAAGAGUCUAUUCCAAGCACAUCUUGGUCAUCGCAGGAGCUCCCAUCUACCAACAGGAUCCCAUCUGCGAACAGGUGGGACAUUCUGUCCAAUCUGCUUGCGCCGCUCGUUACCAGAGCGCCAUGUGCGACGGCGGUGAGCCGUUUACGAGCUCGCGUCGAUGAUUCCAGCAUAUCUCGACAUGCAAAUUUUAUUUCUGCUAUUGCACGAGAAUGGUACACUGCUUGUCUUCUGCUCACUUGUGGCUUGUUUGUAUGGGUAUCAGUAGACGCUCUUUGGUCUCCUGGCUACUAGAACGCACCAGCUACGCAGCAGCCAAGGCAUUGAGGCAUGCCGCAUAGCCGGCAGGGCAAGCACGGCGCGUACCAGCGUACGUGACUGGCAAAAAGCGGCCAUAUUGGAUUUUGCUCUAAAAAAAGUGCACUUCCGCUGGAUGGGUGGAUAGAUGUUAUGAGCGUCCCCUUUGGAACGGGGCGGUGGGUUGCACUACCAAGCUCUUUCAAUCCGCUUCCGUAUUGAGCAGCGUCAUCUGGCGUCCACCUAGGUAAGUUCCAUGCGCAGCUGCUGCUUAUUUUCGUACCACUGCUACAGUGUACUAGAAUACUAGUUCCAUGGAGUUUCCUACAAAUUUUUGUAGGAAACUCUAUGACUAGUUCACUGUACCACUGCAGAAGGUACAGUUUCUGUUCUCUAAUGUUAGUUCGUUAUUCUAUGACAUGGCUGCAGUGGCAGUCAAUGGCCAGAAGUGCUGCAAAGACUCAUUUCUGUGUUUGUUAGAAACCAUCGCUCGGCGCUACCCUGUAUGAAGACUUUUCUGCGCUUGUUAGAAGCCAUCGUUCGGUGCUACCCAGUGUGAAGGUACAUCACAAAGUAAAAUAAAGCGUAGUUCUCUGACCCUUUGCUUUUGUAUGAAUGUUUUCUGACAUUGCUGUGCUGCGCUUACAUACACGGCACAACAUUUCCGUACACGGAUGGAUGGAAGGUAGGAGCGUCCCCUUUGAAACGGGGUGAUGGCAGUUGCCACCGUGCUCAGAUUUUUAUUUUGCCUUUUAUUUUUAUUGUUAUCUGUGUUGUGUGUUAUUGAAAUUCUCAAUUUUCUUUAAAUACGUCGUCCUACCCUUUUAACCUUAUGUCACCUCUCUGCUUUUGAGCCACCAAUACCACCGCAUAUUUAUUUACAUGACUUAUCUCUGAACCUUAGGGCCUCAGGAAGCGUGACUGUGGCCGCAUCGACAUCGGGAUUGAUACCAUCGCAUUUUAGUAUGAGGUGUUCCAUUGUUUCUACAUAUUUACCACACACAGUACAUGUCUUCUUCAUUAAAUUUCUUUUUAUAGCUUCGCGUUCUGAGACGUCCUGAUCUAGCUUCAGAGAGUAGGGCACUGCCUCUUGAGUUAUCAUAAAACGCUUCCUUCCUGAUCUGCUGUUUCCAGUAUCGAUAUAGUUCCACACUAUGCUUCUUUACUGUUGAAUUUAUCCAAUUUUUACCUUCCGCAUUUUUAACCUGUUGUUUAAUACUCUGUCUUUCUUCGUCCUCGUGUCUGCCAUACUUGCUGGUUAGCUUCCUAGUUCUUUUCCGCCAUUGUGAGUCAACACUCUUUCUGUAUAGGUAUUUAAAUACCUUAGCUGCCCACCUGUUUUCAUUCAAUUUUUUCAGACGUUUUUCGUAUAGGAUUUUACUCUGAGCUUCCCCUGCUUCGAACGAUGCCCAGCCCAUAUAUCCCUGUACUGCUUCGUUCGUGGUUUUCACGUCGCACCUAGUGCUAACCUUCCCACAGCUCUCCGAUUUACUUCUGGUCUCGACUGAACCUCUGCCCUUAAACACAAGACCGCAUUCCUGAAAGUAAGCCCCGGCACCAUUAGUCCCUUCCAAAUACCUCUCAGUACCUCAUACCUGUUGUACCCCCACAAUGCCCUAUGUUUAAUUAUCCCGGCAUCUCUUCGCCCUUUUGCUAUGAGAGACUGUUUGUGCUUUUCCGUGUACAUCUGCCCUUUGUUUAUCCAUACCCCGAGAUAUUUGUAUUCGGCCACUCGGGGUAUUUCAUGGCCUUGUAUUGUAAGCUCCUGAUUAGUUGUAUUGUUGAAAUACAUCCCACCGGAAUUAGCUGUACUAAAACUGAAACCUAAACUGUCUCCUUCAUCUCCACAGUAAUUAACCAGAGUUUGCAAAUCUUCCUGGCUAUCUGCUAACAGUACAAUAUCGUCUGCAUACAUUAAACCCGGUAGUCGUUCCUCAACCUUUUCGCCUAAUCUGUACAACAGAUUAUACCCUAGAUUGCUUCGUUGUAACCUUCUUUCCAUGCUUAUCAUAUACAACCUUGCCUUAAUCCUUUGUGUACCUCGACAGUUGUACUUACUCUUAAUUCCUUCCCAUGUUAUUUCGACAUUAUUUUCUCGAUAUAUUUCCUGUAGAAAAUCUACAGUACACUUCCGCACUAACCGACGCCCUCUUGCAGCGAGCGAUCUGUUGAAAGCACAGUGGCAAAAGCAGGCGCACACCAAUCAGUGCUCGGAAAAGCACGCAGCGAGCCGCGCCAAUCAAAUCCAGAAGGCAAAGUUCAUUCAAACUAUGCAUUACUACAGCCUUUGACUGUAUGCAUUAUGGUGCGAGAGCAGAGAAAUGGAUAUGUAAAGACAGUUGGGCACGUUAAAACAGCAUCUUUUUGUAUUUGAAAAGGUAACACACACAAAAUGACAGAACACAUGCGCUUUCAUCUCUUCUUACACACAAAAAACCUGGAGCAAUAAGGCCUUUUUCACUGUGCCAUAGAAACUGUGCCAUUUUUGCUCUCAAAGAUAAUUCUUAUUCACUGGAUUAGCUCUUGUGCCAUGUUUAUUUUCUUGAGUGUGCUUUUUUUACACGUUAAUGUUUCAAAAUCUUCUUUUAUUUUCACAGAAUGAACAUCCCAUGUCUCGGUUCGACUUCCUAGUACAGGAUACUUGCACUUGACAUGGAGUGAAGAAGCGGAGCAGUGUACUUUUAUUAAAACACAGAGUUAGCAGUAUAAGAGCAGUUCAUCAAAAAAAAGUCUGCUGUAAAUAAAGGGUUCCCACCCACAUUCCUCGUUGUUUAAUUAUGCUUGUAUGCCAGUAUUCUCAGCAAAACCAGUUAUAUUGGUAAUUGAUCAUAAUAAGUGCUCAUGAGCGUUUUAAGGAACAGUGUUGAACCCUUUAUACUGGUGCACUGGUAAGAUGUUUACAUGCAGUAAGAUUGAAAUGGAAGGCGAAAUAGCGCACACCAAUGCUUGAUGCAGCACUUCUCACACUAGCAUGUCAGAAAUUUUUGCAUAAAACAAUAUACUCGGAGCAUACUAGCACUAGCACAUCAUCCUCACUCUCACAAAUCUGCGUGCGGCUCAUAUCUCUCUCCCUCUCUCUCCCCCCACACUGGGCUUACCUGCUGGCCAUCACU